rnacentral:rRNA from 1 species
UACGAAGGGGGCGAGCGUUGUUCGGAAUCACUGGGCGUAAAGGGCGCGUAGGCGGCCCUUCUUGUCGCGUGUGAAAGCCCCGGGCUCAACCUGGGAACGGCGCGCGAGACGGGGGGGCUGGAGUUCGGGAGAGGAGCGUGGAAUUCCCAGUGUAGAGGUGAAAUUCGUAGAUAUCAGGAAGAACACCAAUGGCGAAGGCAGCUCUCUGGGACGGUACUGACGCUGAGACGCGAAAGCGUGGGGAGCGAACAGG